AGCCUGACGUGACUGGACACUGGUGGGCAGACAGCCCCCAGAACCACAGGCGGUUCCAGAUGUUUUUGUCGAGGCUGGCACAGUUCCAGUCACUUCUGAGCUGGCCUUUCCAGUUUCUCCAGGUCUCAACUCCACGCACCGGGUGUUGGCAGGCGCGGGGAAAAUAUUCCUCAGGCUUUGAUCUCCAUCUCUGCUGCGGGCCCUGUUCCGUUGACCUCAGCCACGUCGCUGCCCUCCCGUGUAUAAGAAAUCCGCCAAGAUGGCGCCCCUGGCCAAUACUUCCAGACCGCCGACGGAGACGCUCAUGGCACGGCCGCACUCUGCAGUGUUCUGUGGGUCGGGAAAGCUCAUAAGUUGUUAUUUGCCUCCUCCCCCAGUAAGGAGGGAACUUGCUGGCAAACCUCAAGGCAGAGUUAACUGGGUGGAAGCCAUUCUUAGCGUGUGGGGUGUCUAAAUAACAGGUGUGGGCUGCAUUUGGCCCAUUGGCUGUAGUUUGCCAACCCCCGUUCCAGGAAGAGUGAAACGUGUCACCGUAACAGAAGCAACACUCACAUCACCCUAUUCUUCUCAUAUUCACUGCAGACUUGAUUGUUAUGAUCUGGGUAAAAAUGCUGGUCAUCAAAGCGUCUGUUCCCAAAUCAAUGCCUGUGAUUCAUAACAGCAUAGACCACCUGACUUCAAGGAGAACCAUCUACACUCGUCAGAGGACAAGCCAUCACUCAGAAAUUCUGAUCUUCAAGGUUGUGCAGUAGUGGAAUGAGAUUCUGUGGGUGUUUCCCUUGGUGAUACGAUGGUGAGUGGAUCUGAUGGGAGCUUUUAUCAAAACUUGGGUGAUACAAACCGUGUGGACUAGUAACCAGAAAUCAGGUGGUGCCUUGAUCAGUACAGUGGAUGCCAGCACAGACGUCAGUGACCGAAGAUAAGGACUCUCCAAAGAGGUCAGAGGUUAUAAUCACCAGUAGAAGCCAACCUGCUGUCAGUGUUUUAGCUCCACAGCGACCCUCCGGAAGUGACCUACCCUCCCAUGAACUCAAGAAGUGACUAUGUGAGAGCCAAGAAGAGAGUUUCAGCAGAACCUCCCCACACUGGUACCCUGAUCUUGGACUUCCAGCCUCUAGAACUAUGAGAAGAUUAAUUUCUGUUGUUCAAACCUCCCGGUUUACAGUGUUUUGUUAGGG
ensembl:lncRNA